rnacentral:lncRNA from 1 species
GCACUUCCGAGUUGCCCUCGGAAAAUGCUAAGGCUCAAUUCAUCUUCGCUGGCAUUGUAACGAGGAGGUGGAUUAUGCACGCUACGAAGGUUGUCAGUGUAGUAUUUUGAUGUGAAGUUUGACACCUCCUCCAGAAUGUAUGCCUCUGCAAUGGAUGCUUCAAUUUUGCACUUAUUCUUACAUUUAGUUCGAAGAACCUUUUGACAUCUCUCAAUUGAAUAGCUCCAACGACCCUGCACAGGCCCCCCC